ACUCCUACGGGAGGCAGCAGUGGGGAAUUUUGGACAAUGGGCGCAAGCCUGAUCCAGCAAUGCCGCGUGAGUGAAGAAGGCCUUCGGGUUGUAAAGCUCUUUCAGUUGAGAAGAAAAAAUUCUGGCUAAUAUCUGGAAUUCAUGACGGUAUCAACAGAAGAAGCACCGGCUAACUACGUGCCAGCAGCCGCGGUAAUACGUAGGGUGCGAGCGUUAAUCGGAAUUACUGGGCGUAAAGGGUGCGCAGGUGGUUAUUGUAAGUCAGAUGUGAAAUCCCCGGGCUUAACCUGGGAAUUGCGUUUGAAACUACAAGACUAGAGUGUGGCAGAGGGGGGUGGAAUUCCAUGUGUAGCAGUGAAAUGCGUAGAGAUAUGGAAGAACAUCGAUGGCGAAGGCAGCCCCCUGGGUUAACACUGACACUCAGGCACGAAAGCGUGGGGAGCAAACAGGAUUAGAUACCCUGGUAGUCCACGCCCUAAACUAUGUCAACUAGUUGUUGGGUCUUAUUAGACUUGGUAACGAAGCUAACGCGUGAAGUUGACCGCCUGGGGAGUACGGUCGCAAGAUUAAAACUCAAAGGAAUUGACGGGGACCCGCACAAGCGGUGGAUUAUGUGGAUUAAUUCGAUGCAACGCGAAAAACCUUACCUACCCUUGACAUGUCAGAAAAAAUUCAGAGAUGAAUUUGUGCUCGAAAGAGAAUCUGAACACAGGUGCUGCAUGGCUGUCGUCAGCUCGUGUCGUGAGAUGUUGGGUUAAGUCCCGCAACGAGCGCAACCCUUGUCAUUAAUUGCCAGCAUUAAGUUGGGCACUUUAAUGAGACUGCCGGUGAUAAACCGGAGGAAGGUGGGGAUGACGUCAAGUCCUCAUGGCCCUUAUGGGUAGGGCUUCACACGUAAUACAAUGGCGCGUACAGAGGGUUGCCAACUCGUGAGAGGGAGCUAAUCUCAAAAAGCGCGUCGUAGUCCGGAUCGGAGUCUGCAACUCGACUCCGUGAAGUCGGAAUCGCUAGUAAUCGCGGAUCAGCAUGUCGCGGUGAAUACGUUCCCGGGUCUUGUACACACCGCCCGUCACACCAUGGGAGUGGGUUUCACCAGAAGCAGGUAGUCUAACCGUAAGGAGGGCGCUUGCCACGGUGAGGUUCAUGACUGGGGUGAAGUCGUAACAAGGUAACC
rnacentral:rRNA from 1 species